AUGGAACAACUUGAUGUCGAAGAUUGGGAGUAUUGGGGUGAUGAAUAUCUUGAAGAAGAACCAACUUAUGCAAUAAGACCUGGUACAAGAGUUGUGAAAGUUGAAAGAGUUCCAAUGAUGCGAGGAGAUUUAAGGACAAGCGGUGCCACGUCAUCAAGUGGUCCCGCCACGUCAUAUAUCAUCAGGCCCAGUGACAAGCAACCCACAGUUUCUAGUGGUGGAUCACAGAAUGGAGAUUCAGUUUGUGCUGUUUGUGGUGACGGAAUUGCAAAAUUACAUUAUGGAGUACUUGCAUGUUAUGGAUGUAAAGGAUUCUUUAGAAGAACACUGACUGGAAAAUAUCGAUAUGCAUGCAGAUUCUCAAAUAAUUGUAUUGUUGAUAAAUAUUUCAACGUUGUAUUCAAGCAGGAAUGGAUCCAAAAGCAGUCAGGCCGGAUAGGGAUCAGACAGGAAAACAGAAAGUUCCAAGAAUUAAGAAGAAGCAAAUUGAUGAGGAGCUUUUAAAUCAUAUGAUGCGGUUACAAGGAGAUGAUUGGUCACGAAAACUUCCUGUCGAGACUCGAAUUUUAUUAAUGCAAUUGAUGAGUAUUGAGGAUAAAGUAGUAAAAGGAGAUAAUAAUAUGAGUGCACAAAACACUGCAAAAGAUCCAAAAAGUAUUUCAUUACGGGAAAUGUUUGAAUCAAAACCUGCAUUAGAUGGUCGACGGAUGGAAAUUGGUUAUGAACCAUUUCGAAUGGCAAGAACUGAAGAACUUGGAGUAAUUGCUCAUAGAAGAGCAAUUGCAGCUGUUGAUUGGGUUGAUUCAUUAACUGAAAUUGCGGAUGCAGUUGAUACUGAAGAUAAAGUUGCAUUGGUUAAAAGUUGUUACUCGCCGUUAACUAUUUUCAAUUUCUCUGCGAGAACUGCUCAGAAUACGAAGAAUCCGGAUAUUUUGUGUCUUUGCAGUCAUUCAUUUGUUCCAAGAAGAUUGCCUCCAGAGUUUAAUGAGACAAAUCAUCUCUCAAACUUCCUGAUUGAUCGAACGUUAAAUGAAUUGGUGGCUCCAUUGAGAAAAUUAAAUCUGAAAGAAGAAGAAAUUGUUCCAUUAAAAGCAAUUAUUAUUUUAAAUCCAAAUGCAAAAGGACUAUCCGAGCAUGCGAGGCACGCGAUUUCUGAGUUGAGAGAUAAAGUUCAAGAUAUGCUUUUCCAAAUUGUCAAGGAGCUUCAUCCAAUCUAUUCUGCAAGCAGCCGAUUUGGAAACUUGUUGCUUCUUCUGCCAACAAUUACUACUCUUUCCGGAUUGAUGUCUGAAAACAUGCAUUUCUGUCAAGCUCUUGGAGGACGUGCAAGUGGAGAUAACUUGUUAGCUGAAAUGUUUGGAGAUAGAACAUUUGAUGAUCAACUUAUCAGCAGCAGCAUUAGCCCACCACUAUUCGAGAAUCCAGCUGAAAUUUGUUUAGAGAGUAUCUCACCGCCAAUGUCUGAUCGAAGAUUCGUGAGAAGGGUAGAUGUGGCAACACAGACAAAUGAUGAUUUGUUAUCAUCUGGACCAUAUCUUCCACAUUCAAAUUCAUGUAGCUCCAUGCUUAAUGCUGGAUACUCUCCUCCAAUGCUGUCAACAUCUCCAUUCCCACUUCUCGAUGACAAUGACAGUGCCUUCCAGAAUGACAUCAGUUUGACUGAGCUGAAUGGUUGUGAAGAGUUCUUCAGUCAACUUAUGGAUCAACCAAUCAUUGACAGCUAA
rnacentral:misc_RNA from 1 species